rnacentral:rRNA from 1 species
CGUAGGGGGCUAGCGUUGUCCGGAAUCAUUGGGCGUAAAGCGCGUGUAGGCGGUCCGGUAAGUCCGCUGUGAAAGUCGGGGGCUCAACCCUCGGAUGCCGGUGGAUACUGUCGGGCUUGAGUACGGAAGAGGCGAGUGGAAUUCCUGGUGUAGCGGUGAAAUGCGCAGAUAUCAGGAGGAACACCAAUUGCGAAGGCAGCUCGCUGGGACGUUACUGACGCUGAGACGCGAAAGCGUGGGGAGCGAACAGG